ACUCCUGCCCUUGGUGACUAUAUAUCUGGCGCCAUUCUCUUUGAUGAGAAUCUUUACUAGUCAACUAUAGAUGGAAAGAAUUUUGUAGGCUGUUUGUGAGAUGAGAAUAUUGUAGCCGGUGUUGAAGUUGAUAGGGAUCCAACAGUAAAUCUUGGUGCCAGGGGCUAAAUGGAUUGGCUUCUAGAUCCGCUGAAUACUAUAAGCAAGGGACUUGUUUUGCUAAAUGGUGUGUUGUUUUCGUUUAAACAUGUUGUUUCCUUUUAAGGAAGAAAAACAAAUGGUGCGUCGACCUUUUUCCUUUUGCAUUCUGAUAUUUCAGGAGAACUAUUGUUAGCAUAGCCUUUCUACUUUGGUUGUUAAAAAAGCAGCAUGGGGUCUUGCUCAUUGUGUUGCCAUUUCUCAAGCACCUAUCCCAAUUCCAUUAUAUUCACUAAAUUUCUCUUUUCAGCGUGCUUCUCUUGUUUUUGUGCACUGCAUCCAGGUGACCAUUCUUAAAAACCAAACGAACGAGAUAGAUAUUUAACUUUCUAUUGGUGGUGAAAAUAAUAAGAUGUAUUAUGAUUGCUUGGCAGGACAAUUGGCUCUUGCCUAUUGUGGAACUUGAAAUCCUUCUGGAUGCAGACCAUCGAAUUGAGAGGACACUUUGAAGUACCAGAGCGGGUGUGGUCAGAGGUGUUCUACUACUUAGCACAGAACAAUGAUGUCUUUGAAGGCAUUCUACUAAAACCUUGCAUGGUAACUCCAGGUGCUGACCACAAAGAAAAGUUUCUCCAGAGACCAUUGCCAAGUAUACACUCACCAUGCUAAAAAGGAGUAUGCCUCCGACAGUUCCAAGAAUCAUGGUAUAUAUCUUGGACCCUCUAUCAAUUAAGUUAAUUCUCCGAAUUUUAAACCUUCGUGUUCCAAGGGACCAAGUGUGUAGCCUCUGAAGUUUGGUAGGCUAAAAUUAUGCACUAGUAUAUUGAGGUCAAAACUUAAGAAAGGGUGUUUCAAGCUCCGUAAUUAGAGGUCCUCAAUAAACAUCACACAUAGAAAUGAAAAAAAAAAAAUUGUUGCACCCAAAUUUAACCUAUAUGCCAAAUGGCGAUCUUUUAACAAGUUGAUGUGUUGAACUGAACUAUCCUGCUUUUUUUUUCAUAAAUUAAACAGUUUCAUGAGAAAAGAAUAUGAACAACAUGAACUGAAUACUUGCAUCAUGAAUGCUUUUUAGCCUUACAAUCAUAUAGUAAAUGCUUUGGUCGUUAUUUGAGUGUUCCAAUCCAUGGCACGCUCUUUCCACUAUGCAUGAGCACUACAGAACACAGUGCUUAAGACAUGGCAAGGAUGUGCAGAGAACUUAGAAGCUGCACAAAAAUCACUUUUGGUGUGUGCAAAGGCGUCCUUGGCACAGCUUGAUAAGUACUGAGCUGAAGGGGAGAGCGAGGAGGCUAGGAAAGGAAUGUUUGUUAAGGGCUACACAAAACUACGUGCUAGGUUCACUCAAAAGUCAACUCAUAUAGUCGUGUAAUUUUGAUUAGUUCUUAGUUCUCUCUUGCUAGCUUUGUAUGUCGAGGUGACAAUGGAAAAUCUCGUUGCUCUACUAUUUCCAUGUUUAGUACAAUGCGGUUUAAUAAUAAUAAGAUGUGAUAAGGAUUUAUCUGA